CCCGAGCCUCGACGUGGCAACCUGUAAACAGCACAGGCGGUGCGGGCGAGCGGCCGAGAUGCUGCAAGAGGCUCAGAGGGGCGAAGCCGCAUGCUCAGGAGCGGUCCGAGAAGGUGCCAUGCAGGCAGCCUUUGGAAUUGGAUGAGCAUUUGAGGUG